UAGGCUGAAACAAGGAAAAUAAAAAUCAAAGUAUGUGUGGCAUUUUGGAGGGGGGUAGAAGAAAUGGUAGAAUGAACGAAUGAUUGAAAAUAGUAAGAGAUGAAAACAAAAUAAAACCCGCAAGACUUUUCACUUCUUUCUUUUUGUUUCUUUUUUUUAUACUUUUCGUUUUUUUUAUAAUUUUCGUAACUUUUUUUUUCUUUUAACACUUCAAAUACAAUAUAAUGAAUUCAAGAAGAAUAAAAUACAACUUGAUUUUUUUUUACGUUACGAACC
rnacentral:lncRNA from 1 species